rnacentral:rRNA from 1 species
GACGAACCGUGCAAACGUUGUUCGGAAUCACUGGGCUUAAAGGGCGCGUAGGCGGCUCAUCAAGUCGGGGGUGAAAUACUUCAGCUUAACUGGAGAAGUGCCUUCGAUACUGGUGGGCUUGAGGGAGGUAGGGGUCUUUGGAACUUCUGGUGGAGCGGUGAAAUGCGUUGAUAUCAGAAGGAACGCCGGUGGCGAAAGCGAAGGACUAGACCUCUUCUGACGCUGAGGCGCGAAAGCUAGGGGAGCAAACGGG